AUAGAUAGCUUGCUUGCUUGCUGCUCUUCCCUUUCCCACCUCAAGAUGAUGAGGCUGAGGCUGAGGCUGAGGCUGAGGCAGCAGCAACAGCAGCAUCGCAGUUCCCUUUCUUCUUCUCUUCUACUUGCUUUCCCACGAAACAAGCAAGGAAUAAUAAUCUGGAGGAGGAAGAUAUGGUCACCAUAACCAUAUAAAACUCCCACAAUAUCUCGAUGCGGGGAUUCAGAAAUGAUUUAAUUGGAGCACGAAUCCUGACUGCAGCGACCACUAUGGAUUCGGUCGCAGCUGCCAUUAGUACUAUAUAAAAUUGGGCAGCACUUUGCAUGCCCAACAUGGGGCCUAUGUGUAGGCUCCCAUGUUGCCUUUCUCCUUCUUCUUCUUCUUCUUCUUCUUCUUCUUCUUUCUUCAUGUGCUACAAUCACAUCUGAUGCCCUAAUCCCAACAGCUCUAGAUCGAAUCAGGUGAUCACGAAUCUCAAGGACUCUCGGAUAUAUGUUUUAACAUUUGGCUCUCACAAGUGCUCCUCCGAGAUAGAUGCCUUUGCUUAUUCCAUUUGGUUUAGUUUACGAGACACAACACGUGGCAACACAGUGAGAUUGUGAUCAGCCACCCAAUGGCAAAUUCCCAUCUCUCACUAAUCAUCCUUCCAUCUUUCUUUCUACAUCCAACUUUUAGUCUUCAUCAUCCUCCCAAGCCAAUACAAGUAUUGUAUAAUUGUGUUGUUGCAUGGUUGCUGUUCUUUCUUUUGUGCUUGUUCAUAUACUACUAUAGCUAAAAGAGGUUUGCAGGCAUCUGCUAGAUUCUCUUGCUUUUUAUUUUUUUCUAAUCACAAAAUAUGACCAAUUGUUUACCCCAAAGUGAGAAUUGGAUACACAAAAGCAAAGUUGAUCAUACCAUCUGUCACGGACGGACGAAGCUCACUAAUAAAUCUCGAGGAAUGUUGUCAGGGUGGUCCAAAGUCCAAACUAUGAUGUGAAGGGAUGAGGAGGCAUGUGCUUAGGAGGCAAAAGGCCUCCCCUCCCCUCCUAUAGGAGAAUUUUAAGUCGAGGCUGUCUCAUGUGGAUCAUUAGACAGGGCUUGUUGUUGGUUUAAUCGAGUAGGAUUGUGGAACGCCAGCAUGAACUGCAAGCAAAUUGACUUUAAUCAAAAGUGGUUGGGUCUUAAACCAUUGCUUGCUGUGACGGCUAACUUUGUUUAUGCAUGAAAAAAGAUACUGAGAUCAAUUUCAUGUGAGUGAGUAUCUCAACUCCACCACCGAUCGUACAUCGCCCUGAUUAAGUUGAGGCUUUUUUGUUGUUCUUCUUCUUCUUCUUCUUUUUCUUUGAAGGCAAGCCAUAAUUCUUUCUGGAAUUUGAUGCUCAUUCAGGAACACAGGCCGACGUUUACCCGAAAAGGUACAAGUUGAUGGAGUUGCUUAGCAUCAUCAUCAAAGCUGAGAGAAGAUUAGCAAACCAGCGCUUCACGGAGGAGGGUUAUGAGAAGAUGAAAGCAACCGGUUCAGGAUUCAUUCCCUGUGCAUGGAUUACUGACUGCUAAAGCUUUGUUUUCUGCAACAAAAAGAGAGAGUGUUGGCAGUACCAUGAACAAGAUCUGGUUUGCUUAAGAGUACCACCUCUAUACAUUAAGUUAUCUUUGAAGGAUGGCCACUAGCAUGAACCACUUUGUUAGAUGGAGAUGGUCUUGGGGGAACUAUGCUCGCUCUUAGUUUGAUGCCUAAACUAAGUUAUCUUUGGGAAAGUGGAAAAGGUUAAUGGAAUCCCACUAUAAUGAUGCUGAUGAUGAUCCUAUUAAAAAUUCUACUUGGAACAACUAGCCUUUAGCCUUUGGCAAAAGGUCUGAGAAAAGGGUGCCUAUUUUUAUUCCAGGGAAUGAAUGCAUCACUCAUCAUGCACAGGUGCUCUGGUUUUUGCUGCAAGUAAAAGUUUUGGUGGGGAAGAUGCAACAUGAUUUCUGUCUCUGCAUUUAUCUUUUGCAAAGCUGUUUAUGAACAUAGCAGUUGGUGAUCUGGUUUCAUGAUUAAUUGGUGGCCUGGUAAUCAUUAGUCUCAAAGAACUUUGCUGUCAGGAAAUGGCUCGAUGUUACAUUUGAUUGAUCUCCAUCUAAAGCAACUCUUUUCAUUAUUUGCUUGCUCAUGCAUUGUGGUAAACUUGGAUUCACAUGUUGUGUCUGUCUUAGAUUGAUCCAUCCACCAUUUGGUGUAAAGCUUGAAGAAACAUGGCUGUUCAGUUGCCCAACUUGCAUGACAAGGUAAACAAAUUCAUCAUCUCAAUCAAUAUGCAAGUUGACACAUUUCCACACUCCUUUGUACUUGACAUGGCUAUGCCCAAGAUGGUUAAUAUUCCUUUUCUCAGCUAGCCAAUCCAUUAUGGUA